UGGGGAAUAUUGGACAAUGGGCGAAAGCCUGAUCCAGCAACGCCGCGUGAGGGAUGACGGCCUUCGGGUUGUAAACCUCUUUCAGCAGGGACGAAGCGCAAGUGACGGUACCUGCAGAAGAAGCACCGGCCAACUACGUGCCAGCAGCCGCGGUAAUACGUAGGGUGCGAGCGUUGUCCGGAAUUAUUGGGCGUAAAGGGCUCGUAGGCGGUUUGUCGCGUCAGGAGUGAAAACUCGGGGCUUAACCCCGAGCCUGCUUCUGAUACGGGCAGACUAGAGGUAUGCAGGGGAGAACGGAAUUCCUGGUGUAGCGGUGAAAUGCGCAGAUAUCAGGAGGAACACCGGUGGCGAAAGGCGGUUCUCUGGGCAUUACCUGACGCUGAGGAGCGAAAGUGUGGGGAGCGAACAGGAUUAGAUACCCUGGUAGUCCACACGUAAACGUUGGGCGCUAGGUGUGGGAC
rnacentral:rRNA from 1 species